rnacentral:rRNA from 1 species
AAGCAGAAAGAUUUAACUUUUUAAUUUUUCGUGUGUUUCACUAUUCGAACAAAUAGAAAGUUAGGGGCGAAAUGUUUUUCACUUCUGCUGAUAUCUAGAUAAUAGUAAAAUAUAUUUAGUAUAUAAAACAAAUAAAAACACUUAAGUGUUUUUAUUUGUAGAGAGUUUUUUCUUUGCUUUGAUUUAUGUUUAUUUUUUUCAAUAAAAAAAUAACUAUAUAAGGUUUCCUUUAUUGUAACUAUUUAACAGUAUUAAUUUUAAUCUUGUUAAAGAAUGUUUAAAUUAGUAGUUUUCUUAAACCUCAAAAAGGAACUCGGCAAAAAUUUUUUUCGACUGUUUACCAAAAACAUAGCCUGUAGAAAUUGUUACAGGUACUUCUGCCCAAUGAAUAUUUUAAUGGCCGCAGUACCCUGACUGUGCUAAGGUAGCAUAAUAAAUUGGCUUUUAAUUGGAGUCUAGAAUGAAAGAAUGAACGGAAACAAGCUGUCUUUUAAUGGUUUUUAGUAAUUUGCUCAGGUGGUGAAAAUUCCACCAGUUUGAAAAAGGACGAGAAGACCCUAAGAAUUUUAAAUGAGAAGAUUAAUAUUUUUUUAUUUUUAGCUGGGGCGGCUAGGGACCAAGUAUUAAACGUCUCUAUGUUUAUCUGUUUUUAACAUUUUUUAUUAAUAUUACCUUAGGGAUAACAGCAUAAUUUUAUUUUAAGCUUGUGACCUCGAUGUUGGACUAGGGUUCUUAAGAUUAAAAGUCUAAAAGUUUUGUUC